AUUAUUUUAUGUGACCAUCUUUUACUUACCCACAAAAUUUAAUUACCUGUGCGUCCUCUGUCGGUUCCAUCAUUUCACUCUACCUACGCACCCCUCCGCUCCAGUGCCUUCGUCUGCAACCACAACCACGUAACUCUCCCCUACGGAAUAGUCCUAAUUCUGAAAUUAAUAACCCCGGGUUUAUGGAGGAAGACGAUGUAGAAGUUUUACAAUUAUAAAAUUAAGAACCCUAGCUAAGAGUGACAGAGACGACGCUGCAAUAGCAGCUGUGUGUCAGCAAAAAUUGCAGAACGUGGAGUUUCAUUAUUUCAACAAUCAAGCUCUUUCCUUUUCUGAACUUUAAUGAACAAAUUUGGAGCAAAAGUUGUCACUAAUAGAACAACUGGACGAACUCGGGGUUAUGGUUUUGUUAGAUUUGGAGAUGAGUGUUAACAAGUUCAUGCCAUGUAUGAGAUGAAUGGUGUUCUUUGUUCUUCUAGGCCAAUGAGAAUUGGUCCUGCUGCUACCAAGACUGGUGCAGGAGGUCGUAUGCAAGAAGAUGCACUGGUGUUAAGUGGGAUGCCAAGGAAUAUAUAGAAAGAACAUGAGGGUGUUUUCAUUACACUGAUUUUAGGUAUUGUUCUGAUUGUUAUUGGUGGUACUGUAGAAGAGGAUGCAGAUGCCCUUAUAAAGUUUGAUAAUGAGCAAGGAAGUGGCACAAAGGUGAAUUUUUGGAUGGAUAUCUGGUGUGGAGAAGGUUUGUUUAAAGCGAGGUUCCCAUAAAUUUAUAGGCAAAAGGCCACUCACGCCCGCAAUCGUAGACAUCGUUGAUGACCCAAGCCACUGCCAAUUCUAGAGGAAAUCCACCUCCCGAAGGCCCGCUUUGGUAAAGUCCAUAAUUUU